rnacentral:rRNA from 1 species
UUCUACAUGCGGGCCAGCAGUAGUGGUCAUGCGGAGGGAGGAGUGGUAUGUCGUGAUGACUGGGCGUAAAGAGGGUGGAGGGGGUUCUCUUAGUGUGGUGUUAGAUUGCCCGGCUGAACUGGUGGGGUGGGCCGGAAACUGGAGGGCUUGAGUAUGGGAGAUGAAGGCGGAAUUCCUGGUGUAGCGGUGAAAUGCGUAGAUAUCAGGAGGAACACCUGCGGUGUAGACAGCUUUCUGGACCAUCACUGACGCUGAGACACGAAAGCGUGGGUAGCAAACAGGAUUAGAUACCCCGGUAGUC